UACAAAACACCAUCCGNCCGGNAACUACNAGCCCCAGCUUAAAACCCAAAGGACUUGGCGGUGCCCCACCCACCUAGAGGAGCCUGUUCUAUAAUCGAUAACCCCCGCUUAACCUCACCACUUCUUGCCAAUACCGCCUAUAUACCACCGUCGCCAGCCCACCCCGUGAGGGAGAUAGUAGGCACAAUGAUAAGUCACCAAAACGUCAGGUCAAGGUGUAGCGUAUGAAGUGGAAAGAAAUGGGCUACAUUCUCUAACCUAGAGCACACGAAAAAUCAUAUGAAAUUAGAUUAGAAGGAGGAUUUAGUAGUAAAAAGAAACAAUAGUGUUCUUUUUAAGUUGGCCCUGGGGCGCGCA
rnacentral:rRNA from 1 species